rnacentral:lncRNA from 1 species
CCUUCAAAUUCAAAUUUAUCCAAUCAUUUCUUCUGCUUACUACCAUCCUAAAUCAUUUUUCUUUAGUAAGAUCUAUUAGUGUGAAGCUAUUAAGCUAUUAAUGUAUGUAUCAUAUUAAUGUAUUAAGACAUUAAGUGAGGAAGUAAAGUUGCAUUCACAGGCCUUGAACUUUUCCACAUCUCGAUUUUUACCCAUCAUCUCUGCAUAGUUCCCUAAGGCAGCCUUCAAAUGGUGAUGUUUCUUAUAAUCCAGAGUUCAGAAGUGGCUUCUCUUCAAUCUUUCUGUGGAAUUCUAAACCACGUGAUAAAGGAGCUGGUGAAAUCAUCACUGGGCUGAAAGAAUGUAGUACUGGUGACAUGAGCCUGCAUUUCCAUUUUUAAUUAAAAUUCUAACUGACCCAGAGCCAGAUUUCCUUCUGCACCAGAGCCUGUGGAAGCGCCACAGUGGAAGCAGCAGAGACUGGAAGAGCAGGCAAGAAGCUGGGAGCUUUGCACUGAACCAGGAAGUCACCACAGCUCUUAGGCAAAGACCCGGAAAGGUGUCAACAUGGCCACACUACUGCUCCCACCUUGUCCUUACUUUCCUCAUCUCAUCCCACAGGCCACAGAUCAGCCCUGGGGUUCAGAGGGAUCCUGACAGCUACUCCUCAAGAUCCUCUCUGUUGUGAUUCAUCCCCCCGGGGCCCUACAGUUUCUCCUUCCUGACUCUUACAUUUCUUUGGAUGGCAUCAUUAUUUACCUGUCUCCUCCCAUAGUUAGGUGCCAAGCACUGUGGAUUCUGCCUCUCAGUGUCCAGACACCCAUUU